AUUGAACGCUGGCGGCAGGCCUAACACAUGCAAGUCGAACGGUAGCACAGAGAGCUUGCUCUCGGGUGACGAGUGGCGGACGGGUGAGUAAUGUCUGGGAAACUGCCCGAUGGAGGGGGAUAACUACUGGAAACGGUAGCUAAUACCGCAUAAUGUCGCAAGACCAAAGAGGGGGACCUUCGGGCCUCUUGCCAUCGGAUGUGCCCAGAUGGGAUUAGCUAGUUGGUGAGGUAAUGGCUCACCAAGGCGACGAUCCCUAGCUGGUCUGAGAGGAUGACCAGCCACACUGGAACUGAGACACGGUCCAGACUCCUACGGGAGGCAGCAGUGGGGAAUAUUGCACAAUGGGCGCAAGCCUGACGCAGCCAUGCCGCGUGUGUGAAGAAGGCCUUCGGGUUGUAAAGCACUUUCAGCGGGGAGGAAGGCAAUACGGUUAAUAACCGUGUUGAUUGACGUUACCCGCAGAAGAAGCACCGGCUAACUCCGUG
rnacentral:rRNA from 1 species